rnacentral:lncRNA from 1 species
AUUAUCGUUAACUGCCAUUGAAAUGAAGGUGGAAGCAAAUAAAUGUGUUAGCCUGCUCACCAUUUUUUUUUCAUUAUUAGCCAGUAUGCUUCUGGUUUUGAAGGACAGAAACUCAACCUGAACUAAACUAGUCAAAAAGGAGAACUGUUUUCUCAUCUAACCACAGAAAGGAAGCAGGGCAGCGCUCAGAGUUGGGCUAUUUUGCUCUCCAUCUCUCACCGCAGCUUCUUUCAAAUAUUGGCUCAUUAUCCUCUGCAAACCGGCCUCUUCCACAUGGUGUUUACUGCUCCAGAGAUGCACUUUCUUUAAUUCUCACCAUCAAAGAAAGAAUAAGUCUUCUUCUCCUCCAUGUCCAGUUUGAAAAAUACCAAGAUAGAGCUGUGAUUGGUCUUGCCUGGGUCAGGUAUCUGUAUUGAUUAUGUUUGUGCUCAGCUGUGAGGAGCAGAGAGAAAAAAUAGAGGAAGAAGCUACUGAGGUUUCAUGGCUCUGAACAGGAUUCUCCUAGCCAUUUGGAGACAAAAUUAGCCCCCAUCCCCCCAAUGGAGACACCACAAUUGACCUCUAAAACAUGCACGAUAUCCAAAAAAGCCUGCU